GGGAAAAGAAACCAACAGGGAUUGCCUCAGUAGCCGGCGAGUGAAGCGGGCAAGAGCUCAGAUUUGAAAUCGUGCUUUGCGGCACGAGUUGUAGAUUGCAGGUUGGAGUCUGUGUGGAAGGCGGUGUCCAAGUCCCUUGGAACAGGGCGCCCAGGAGGGUGAGAGCCCCGUGGGAUGCCGGCGGAAGCAGUGAGGCCCUUCUGACGAGUCGAGUUGUUUGGGAAUGCAGCUCCAAGCGGGUGGUAAAUUCCAUCUAAGGCUAAAUACUGGCGAGAGACCGAUAGCGAACAAGUACUGUGAAGGAAAGAUGAAAAGCACUUUGAAAAGAGAGUGAAACAGCACGUGAAAUUGUUGAAAGGGAAGGGUAUUGCGCCCGACAUGGGGAUUGCGCACCGCUGCCUCUCGUGGGCGGCGCUCUGGGCUUUCCCUGGGCCAGCAUCGGUUCUUGCUGCAGGAGAAGGGGUUCUGGAACGUGGCUCUUCGGAGUGUUAUAGCCAGGGCCAGAUGCUGCGUGCGGGGACCGAGGACUGCGGCCGUGUAGGUCACGGAUGCUGGCAGAACGGCGCAACACCGCCCGU
rnacentral:rRNA from 1 species